UUUGCUGGGAGAAAUGAAGGUAGUCUUACUGAAAUUCUAGAUGCAAAAUCUAUGUAUUCACUGGUGUUCAUAAUUUAGAAUGUGACUACACAUGUUAAUACUUACUCUAAGUGUUUACUGAAUUUCCCCCCCAUUUUUAAAUAUUUAAAUAAGCAUUAAAUAAAUUUAAAUAAGCAUUAAAAGUCAAAUAGCUAGCAGAAGGGCCCAGAGUAUCAAAACCAGAAAGAGACACCUGCUUCUCACAUCUGUUUGUUCAGAUGUCUCUUGACCUUUUCUCUAGGGGGACGUUGUUAGAUUGUUUCAUGCGGAACAAGAGAAGUUUUUGACUUGUGAUGAAUAUGAGAAAAAACAGCACAUUUUCCUUCGUACGACCUUGCGCCAAUCAGCUACUUCUGCUACUAGUUCUAAAGCACUCUGGGAAAUAGAGGUGGUUCAUCAUGACCCAUGCCGUGGGGGUGCAGGACAGUGGAACAGCUUGUUCAGAUUUAAGCAUCUUGCAACUGGAAACUAUUUAGCUGCAGAGCUUAAUCCUGAUUAUCGAGAUGCCCAAAAUGAAGGAAAAACUGUGGUGA
rnacentral:sRNA from 1 species